rnacentral:rRNA from 1 species
UGGGGAAUCUUCCGCAAUGGACGAAAGUCUGACGGAGCAACGCCGCGUGAGUGAAGACGGCCUUCGGGUUGUAAAGCUCUGUGAUCCGGGACGAAAGAGCCUGAGGUGAAUAGCCUAAGGAAGUGACGGUACCGGAAAAGCAAGCCACGGCUAACUACGUGCCAGCAGCCGCGGUAAUACGUAGGUGGCAAGCGUUGUCCGGAAUUAUUGGGCGUAAAGCGCGCGCAGGCGGCUUCCUAAGUCCAUCUUAAAAGUGCGGGGCUUAACCCCGUGAUGGGAUGGAAACUGGGAAGCUGGAGUAUCGGAGAGGAAAGUGGAAUUCCUAGUGUAGCGGUGAAAUGCGUAGAGAUUAGGAAGAACACCGGUGGCGAAGGCGACUGUCUGGACGAAAACUGACGCUGAGGCGCGAAAGCGUGGGGAGCAAACAGG